rnacentral:rRNA from 1 species
UACGUAGGGAGCAAGCGUUAUCCGGAAUCACUGGGCGUAAAGAGCUCGUAGGCGGUCUGGUAAGUCGCAUGUUAAAGACCCUGGCUUAACCGGGGGAAUGCAAGCGAUACUGCCGGACUGGAGAGCGGGAGAGGGAAACGGAAUUCCUGGUGUAGCGGUGAAAUGCAUAGAUAUCAGGAAGAACACCAGUGGCGAAGGCGGUUUCCUGGACCGUUUCUGACGCUGAGGAGCGAAAGCCAGGGGAG